rnacentral:rRNA from 1 species
AUGGAGGGGUUCACACCUGUUUUGUCAAAGUCUGCAAAGAGAAAAAUGAGGGCUGCUAGAAAGAGGGUUGCUCAGAGUUCUGCAGGAAGUGUUACUCAUGCUCUAGUGUCAGUAAUGAAAGGAAAGAUAGUUGAAGCAGAACCAUCCAACCGCCAGAAAUCCAAGGACAAGGGAAAGAAAGUGGUGUUUGAGAAAUCCGAGUUUCCACCACUUGUUUACAAGGGAAAAGAGAAGAUGGUGGAGACACCCAACUCCAAGCUACCUGGGAAAAGAGGCGGCGUUGCGGUCAUAUUGCCGUCAGCGUCGUCUUCAACAGGAAGGCCCACCAACGCUCGGAAUAUACUUCGAGCCGAUGCUCCUAAGUUUGUCCCCUCACUGGCCCAUAAACCUAGUGAGGAAUGCUUGGGAAUAAUACAAAAACGUUCCCUGGAAUGGAAAGGAGUGUGCCUUACACCUGGUGACCUCAAAACAUGCCACAUAGAUCCAACAUCUGCACCAUCAGUUCCUCUGUUUGAAGAAGCACCCAUCUUACGAGAGUCCUCUGAAGGUUCGUUUGAUCCAGUGCGACAUCAACGGCGACAGAGAAAUGUCCGUCGAUCUUGGAUUGAUCUUCCAGCUGUCGUAGAUCAAGAUGCGGCGAGCCGACACCGUUCUCAUGUGAGCAAGUCUGUCAAGGGGAGAUGGAAAAACACUCGUCCAAAGAUCCAAGUUCAGAAUCCAGAUGACUCAUAUGUUGUUAAAUGCAUAUGUCAAGCAAUCAGGUCACAGCUUCCCGGUGCAUCCACAUCACAAAACAAUGAGGGUGGUGCCAUCAUGCGACUGGCGAAGGCCCUGGCCCAACGACCUGAGUACCAAGAAUUCAUUCAGCAACAUCCUGAACAUCAAGAGUAUGUGAACCAAGCUGCUCGUGUCCGUUCAAGAAGGGCGGCGUACAAAGAAAGAGAAAGGGGAGUACGAGCAAGGUCUGGGUCAAGCAGAGUCCAAGGGGCAGAACACGUUCCAUCAGAUGAGGACAGUCAGGCUAAAGUGAACGAGUGGCUAUCAAAUCCAUCAAAUGAGGAGGCCAUUAGUUUGUCUCCAUGGCCCUCUCGUAAGAAGACCAAGAAUAAUUCAUUCGAGGUGUUCCAAGCAAUGCCAAUUGGUGUCAGAGCGGCAUCAGACAAGACAAGUGAAACAUCCUCCACAUCAAUACAUUUCAAGAGGAAGAAGGCACGCAAAACUGUCGUAGAAGGUCCUCGUCGUAAGACACGAAGCCAAAAGGGUUCAGAUUAUGAGGAACUUGGGUUCAACUGUGGUGGGUCUUAUAAUCCCCUAUCGGACAGUACCCCUUGUCCUUCUGAAAAUGAGAUAGAACUCCACCAUGGUGCAGAGCAUACAGAACAAGUCCUAGCCGCGAAUGAAACUCGUUCGGUUGAGGAGCAAUUGGCCAACCUUACGGCAGCGCUUCAGCAAAAGGAAGACGAGCUAGCAGCCCUUCGAAUUCAGAUGAGUAAUAACCAGAACAAAGGAAAUGAAAGGGAUGGUGGUGUGAGUGCUAGCAGCCAACAUGGAGGAGCAAGGCUUAACCUUGAGGCGAUCCAAAAAAUGAUCGCUGAGGGGGUAAAGUCCUAG